UGAUCAUGGCUCAGAUUGAACGCUGGCGGCAGGCCUAACACAUGCAAGUCGAGCGGAUGAAGUGAGCUUGCUCACGGAUUCAGCGGCGGACGGGUGAGUAAUGCCUAGGAAUCUGCCUGGUAGUGGGGGACAACGUUUCGAAAGGAACGCUAAUACCGCAUACGUCCUACGGGAGAAAGCAGGGGACCUUCGGGCCUUGCGCUAAAAGAUGAGCUCGCGUGAGAUUAGCUUGUUGGUGAGGUAAUGGCUCACCAAGGCGACGAU
rnacentral:rRNA from 1 species